GCUUAUACAUGCAGUYGUACGAGAGUUUUUAAYUCAAGUGGCGGACGGGUGAGUAACACGUAAGAAUUUGCCUUUAGGAGGGGGAYAACAACUGGAAACGGUUGCUAAUACCCCAUAUGCUUUCGAGUGAAAUGGAUUUUUCCGCCUAGAGAGRAGCUUGCGGCUGAUUAGCUUGUYGGUGAGGUAAURGCUYACCAAGGCGACGAUCAGUAUCUGGUUUGAGAGGACGAUCAGACACACUGGAACUGAGACACGGUCCAGACUCCUACGGGAGGCAGCAGUAGGGAAUUUUCCGCAAUGGGCGAAAGCCUGACGGAGCAAUCUCGCGUGAGGGAUGACGGCCUAUGGGUUGUAAACCUCUUUUUUCAGGGAGGAAUAAMAUGACGUGUACCUGAAGAAUAAGCAUCGGCUAACUCCGUGCCAGCAGCCGCGGUAAGACGGAGGAUGCAAGUGUUAUCCGGAAUCACUGGGCGUAAAGCGUCUGUAGGUGGUUUARUAAGUCAACUGUUAAAUCUUGAAGCUCAACUUCRAAAUCGCAGUCGAAACUAUUAGACUAGAGUAUAGUAGGGGUAAAGGGAAUUUCCAGUGGAGCGGUGAAAUGCGUAGAGAUUGGAAAGAACACCGAUGGCGAAGGCACUUUACUGGGCUAUUACURACACUCAGAGACGAAAGCUAGGGUAGCAAAUGGGAUUAGAUACCCCAGYAGUCCUAGCCGUAAACAAUGGAUACUAGAUGUUGAACAGAUCGACCUGUGCAGUAUUAAAGCUAACGCGUUAAGUAUCCCGCCUGGGAAGUAUGCUCGCAAGANUGAAACUCAAAGGAAUUGACGGGGCCCGCACAAGCGGUGG
rnacentral:rRNA from 1 species